rnacentral:rRNA from 1 species
CCUACGGUGAGCAGCAGUCGAGAAUCAUUCACAAUGGGGGAAACCCUGAUGGUGCGACGCCGCGUGGGGGAAUGAAGGUCUUCGGAUUGUAAACCCCUGUCAUGUGGGAGCAAAUUAAAAAGAUAGUACCACAAGAGGAAGAGACGGCUAACUCUGUGCCAGCAGCCGCGGUAAUACAGAGGUCUCAAGCGUUGUUCGGAAUCACUGGGCGUAAAGCGUGCGUAGGCUGUUUCGUAAGUCGUGUGUGAAAGGCGCGGGCUCAACCCGCGGACGGCACAUGAUACUGCGAGACUAGAGUAAUGGAGGGGGAACCGGAAGUCUCGGUGUAGCAGUGAAAUGCGUAGAUAUCGAGAGGAACACUCGUGGCGAAGGCGGGUUCCUGGACAUUAACUGACGCUGAGGCACGAAGGCCAGGGGAGCGAAAGGGAUUAGAUACCCCAGUAGUC